UAACUGACUGAGCCACCCAGGCGCCCCUUUUAUCAUUUCUUAUAAAACCUGAAUAACGAUACUCUACUGUAGGUUGUAUAGCACAUUUUUAUUCUCCCCAAAGAAGGCAUGAACAUAUGAGAAAAAUCAAGAACAGAUGACCAAGGCUGUUUGAGGAGAUCAAAGGAGCUAAUGGAUGCAAGUGAGACUAUUUUGCUAAAAGCAUGAAGCCACAUGGAAAUACAAGGUUUUCUCAGUCUAUCUCUCUUAUAAUUGAGUAGGGGCUUUAGUUUGCUUUGAUGUAGCCACCAACCUUUCAGAGCAGCAUUCGGACUACAGUUUGGUUUCAAGCUCAAUGUAAAGGCAGGGGGCUCACCAACAUCACUAACCAUGGACUAACAGAACAUUUGAUGCACAGAUACAGGACCCCACAUAGCACUGAACCAUUGAAGAACCAAGGAUCCAAAUCUGCAGCAAAUGAAAAGCACCAAUGGCACAUAAUCUGUGGUCUUCUGACAUAUUACACGCCCCAAAUACUGCUAGCAUAAAAGAGUAAUGGAGUGUUUUUUGAAGUCAAAGCUAAUGUACCAGGGGGGAAGAUUUUUGGAAACCCAAGCGCUGAUUACAGAGGCAGAGGGUAUAAUUAUUUCAAUAAUGAGUUGUCUCAGGAACCAGAAUUUCCAUUAAGAAAAGAGGACAAAGGAAAGCUACAAAAUCCUCCUGAAGUAGAAUACUGGGUUUUAGUUCUGCAAAGA